AUGGCAAUGAGGCCGCUUGUCGUCCUGGCCCUGGCCGUGGCGCUCGCCGGCGUGGCACUGGGAGGGGGCGCGGCGGAGGGGGCCGGCGAGUGCGGGAGGUCCUCCCCCGACCGGAUGGCCCUGCGCAUGGCCCCGUGCAUCUCGGCGGCGGACGAGCCGGACUCGGCGCCGUCGAGCAGCUGCUGCUCGGCGGUGCACACCAUCGGCAAGAGCCCCAGCUGCCUGUGCGCCGUCAUGCUGUCCGGCACCGCCAAGAUGGCCGGGAUCAAGCCCGAGGUCGCCAUCACCAUCCCCAAGCGCUGCAACAUGGCCGACCGCCCCGUCGGCUACAAGUGCGGAG
rnacentral:rRNA from 1 species